UACGGGGGGGGCAAGCGUUGUUCGGAAUUACUGGGCGUAAAGGGCGCGUAGGCGGCCUGCUAAGUCGGACGUGAAAUCCCUCGGCUCAACCGAGGAACUGCGUCCGAUACUGGUGGGCUUGAAUCCGGGAGAGGGAUGUGGAAUUCCAGGUGUAGCGGUGAAAUGCGUAGAUAUCUGGAGGAACACCGGUGGCGAAGGCGGCAUCCUGGACCGGUAUUGACGCUGAGGCGCGAAAAGCUAGGGGAGCAAACGGG
rnacentral:rRNA from 1 species